rnacentral:rRNA from 1 species
AAUGAACGUUGGCGGCAUGGAUUAGGCAUGCAAGUCGAGCGAGAAGAGUUUUGAAGCUUGCUUUAGAACUCGGACAGCGGCGAAAGGGAGAGUAACGCGUAGUUAUGUGCCCUAGGGUCCGGAAUAGCCACGGGAAACUGUGGGUAAUGCCGGAUAAUAUCCCCGGAUCAAAGGUGUGAUUCCGCCCUAGGAGCAGACUGCGUCCUACUAGCUAGUUGGUGGGGUAAUGGCCUACCAAGGCAACGAUGGGUAGCGGGUGUGAGAGCAUGACCCGUCUCCCUGGGACUGAGACACUGCCCAGACACCUACGGGUGGCUGCAGUCGAGAAUCUUCGGCAAUGGGCGAAAGCCUGACCGAGCGAUGCCGCGUGCGGGAUGAAGGCCCUCGGGUUGUAAACCGCUGUCGUAGGGGAGGAAGGUUCCGUGAAGAGCGGAAUUUGACCUAUCCUAGGAGGAAGUACGGGCUAAGUUCGUGCCAGCAGCCGCCGUAA